rnacentral:hammerhead_ribozyme from 1 species
ACUCAGCUGAUGAGUCCCAAAUGGGAUAAAACGCACGUUCUGGAU